GUGGGGAAUCUUCCGCAAUGGACGAAAGUCUGACGGAGCAACGCCGCGUGAGUGAUGAAGGUCUUCGGAUUGUAAAGCUCUGUUAAUCGGGACGAAAGAGCCUAGUGUGAAUAAUGCUAGGAAGUGACGGUACCGGAAUAGAAAGCCACGGCUAACUACGUGCCAGCAGCCGCGGUAAUACGUAGGUGGCAAGCGUUGUCCGGAAUUAUUGGGCGUAAAGCGCGCGCAGGCGGAUCUGCCAGUCUGUCUUAAAAGUUCGGGGCUUAACCCCGUGAUGGGAUGGAAACUACAGAUCUAGAGUAUCGGAGAGGAAAGUGGAAUUCCUAGUGUAGCGGUGAAAUGCGUAGAGAUUUGGAAGAACACCAGUGGCGAAGGCGACUUUCUGGACGAUGUCUGACGCUGAGGCGCGAAAGCUAGGGGAGCGAACGGGAUUAGAAACCCCAGUAGUCC
rnacentral:rRNA from 1 species